rnacentral:rRNA from 1 species
CCUGGCUUAGGACGAACGCUGGCGGCGUGCCUAAUACAUGCAAGUCGAACGGUCUUUCUAUGGAAGCUUGCUUCCACUGAGAAGAUAGUGGCGAACGGGUGAGUAACACGUGGGUAACCUGCCCAUAAGAGGGGGAUAACAUCCGGAAACGGGUGCUAAUACCGCAUAGUUUUCUUGAUCGCAUGAUUGAGAAAGGAAAGACGGCCUUUGUGCUGUCGCUUAUGGAUGGACCCGCGGCGUAUUAGUUAGUUGGUGAGGUAACGGCUCACCAAGACGAUGAUACGUAGCCGACCUGAGAGGGUGAUCGGCCACAUUGGGACUGAGACACGGCCCAAACUCCUACGGGAGGCAGCAGUAGGGAAUCUUCCGCAAUGGACGAAAGUCUGACGGAGCAACGCCGCGUGAGUGAAGAAAAGGUUUUCGGAUCGUAAAACUCUGUUGUCAGAGAAGAACAAGUUGGAGAGUAACUGCUCCAGCCUUGACGGUAUCUGACCAGAAAGCCACGGCUAACUACGUGCCAGCCGCCGC